AAUAAUAAUAAUAAUAGUAAUAAUAAUAAUAAUAAUGAUAAUAAUAAAAAUAUAGACAGUGGGAGGAGGGAGAUUCAACACCUCAUCAUAUUCAUCAAUCAUUUAAGGCAGUGUGCAAGAAAGGAACGAAUGAAAUUGACCUUCGCAGUUUUGAGAAGAGUCUAUCCCUUGUUACUGGUGAGGAACUGGAUCAGGAUGAAAUUAAACUGGUAAUGAGGGAGCUGGCGAAGCGAGGUGUCGAGAAGAAUAUUGUUCCCAUCAACACCGUCUUGGAUGUACUCAUGGAGAAUUAUGUGAAUAGUUCAGAGGCAGUAAUAGCGGACAAUUCAACCUAGCGAAAAAUAUUAUUAUUUUUUUCUUGAAAAAUUGUUUUUCUAAAUAAUGUAUCUAGAUUUACAAUAAACACAUACUUUUUGAAUAGUCAAGAGCUAUUUCAGCAUUUAUGCAUAAUAUAAAUGUGUUAAAAGGUUUUUAUAUAUUUUGUUAAAUUAUUCUA